rnacentral:rRNA from 1 species
CCUACGGGCGGCAGCAGUGAGGAAUAUUGGUCAAUGGGCGGGAGCCUGAACCAGCCAAGUCGCGUGAGGGAAGACGGUCCUAUGGAUUGUAAACCUCUUUAGGCGGGGAGCAAUGCCGGGCACGCGUGCCCGGAGGGAGAGUACCCGCCGAAUAAGCAUCGGCUAACUCCGUGCCAGCAGCCGCGGUAAUACGGAGGAUGCGAGCGGUAUCCGGAUUUAUUGGGUUUAAAGGGUGCGUAGGCGGAUUGUUAAGUCAGCGGUAAAAUGUACGGGCUCAACCCGGGCCGGCCGUUGAAACUGGGGAACUAGAGUGAGAGAGAGGUAUGCGGAAUGCGAGGUGUAGCGGUGAAAUGCAUAGAUA